UAUGUGAUCGUCUCUCGCAUAUCAAUAAGCGGAGGAAAAGAAACUAACAAGGAUUCCCCUAGUAACGGCGAGUGAAGCGGGAAGAGCUCAAAUUUGAAAUCUUAAAGGGUUUCCCUUUACGAAUUGUAGUUUAAAGAAGUGUUUUCUGUUGAGGUUUUGGUAAAAGUUCUUUGGAAUAGGACAUCAUAGAGGGUGAGAAUCCCGUAUUUGACCUUUACUUUCAACUUUGUGAUACACUUUCAAAGAGUCGGAUUGUUUGGGAAUGCAGUCCAAAAUGGGUGGUAAAUUUCAUCUAAAGCUAAAUAUUGGCGAGAGACCGAUAGCGAACAAGUACCGUGAGGGAAAGAUGAAAAGAACUUUGAAAAGAGAGUUAAACAGUACGUGAAAUUGUCAAGAGGGAAGCGUUUGACACCAGUGUUGUUUUUCUGAAAAUCAAUUAAAGAACUGUUUAUGCUAAGCUGUUUAGACUUUAUCGGCUAACUGUUUAGUUUUGAGCUUUUCUUUAAUGCACUUUUCAGUUAACAAGUCAACAUCAAUUUCUUUUGCUGUAAAAAAGCUUGAGGAAGGUGGCUUGAGAUUCGUCUUAAGUGUUUAUAGCCUCUUGCCUAUGCAGUCGGAGAGAUUGAGGUCUGCAGCGUAGAUCCUUCGGGGCUAAAUGCAUUUGUGCUAAGUUAUAGCAUUUUAUAGACAACUUGUUGACUAUGAUUUGUCUUGUAGCUUACUCGCUUAUGUUAUUUUACCUACGCUUAGGAUGUUGAUCUGUAGUGCGUGCG
rnacentral:rRNA from 1 species